UACGUAGGGGGCAAGCGUUGUCCGGAUUCAUUGGGCGUAAAGAGCGUGUAGGCGGCCAGGUAGGUCGGUUGUGAAAACUGGAGGCUCAACCUUCAGAGGUCGACCGAAACCAUCUGGCUAGAGUCCAGGAGAGGAGAGUGGAAUUCCUGGUGUAGCGGUGAAAUGCGCAGAUAUCAGGAAGAACACCAAUUGCGAAGGCAGCUCGCUGGGACGUAACUGACGCUGAGACGCGAAAGCGUGGGGAGCGAACAGG
rnacentral:rRNA from 1 species